UCCUGUUCCUGCCUACCUGCCACAGGAAGUAAAGGCUUUACAGGAAGUUACUCUUAUACUCAUGGGAUGUUUCUAAUUUCUUUUGGACUGUGUGAACUUGUUUCCUAAAGCGCAGCUCAUCUGUCUUUCCUCCACUGACUAAAGGCCAAAGGUUGAUGAGGAAGAUGGCAAACACAUGAUGAGGAACUUUGAAGAGGACCAUCCAAUACUGAACCUCUGUCACUGAGUGCCACUCCGACUCGCCCUCACGGUGCAAGGCAGCUGUCAUCCGAACCAGGAUCAGAUGACAAGUAGCUUGAAGUUGACGGGACCAGUGCCCUCGAAGGUCAAGUCUUUUCAUCUCAGAGGCCACAAUGAAACGGGCCGUUGUUUUCACACACACAGAUAUCACCGCUCAGUUAGAGCAACAACAUGGUCUCUCUUCAUUUCCUACAUCUGCUACUGCAAAGUGUCAUAUUGACAUAUCUGACUUCACCUACUUUAACAGAAUAGACUUAGGCAACGAGUCGAACACAAAGAAGGCGCUUUAACAAUCGUUUCUUUUUAAAUGAUGGUCUGAUGCCUCUUAUUUCAAGCUAAGCAAAUUCUUACUUAUCAUAAGAAAUGGUAACUUGUUGAAGCCUAUUAAAUAACUAAAACAUUAUGCCGCGGUCCACUGCCUCCUCCCACCGUGUGACCGGCUUACGCUGGCAUGCAGCUGCAGGCAUAUCUGCCACCAGGGGGCCGGAGGGAGCGACCAGAUGAUCCUUGAGGCCGCAGACCGGUUCCUGACAGACAAGGAUGAAUGACCUUUGGCUUUAUUUAUGUCGCCGCCACUCGUGCCGCACCUUUUCAUCAGAUACGGUCGCUGUAAUCCCUCAGCCCCCAUUCAAUUUACAGAGGCACUGUGUCACUGCAGACCACUAAAGCUGACGAAAUUAAUGGAUCGAUAGGCCCCUGAAAGCCUGACGGGAGGGUCCAGGUCCCAGCGGUCACUCUCGGGUUACCGGCCAUAAUGAAUGGGGUGUUGUUUAUGUUGUAAUGUGCAGCGUCACUGAGUCUUUUGAACAAACCAACUGCUUUGCCAGAGCUUGCAGCACUGGAAGAAGUAAUCUGAACUAAGAUCAGAUCAUAAUAUAGAAGCGUAACUACUUUCAUUACUGGUAUUUGUACUGUACUGUAUGAUGCAGCAUUAAGGGUUCAAUGGGCCGUGAAACCUCUAAAAUUCAUUUCAUCGUUUUGCAUCAUUGAACUGUUUUUUAGCUUAUGUAAUGUUGUUAUUACCCCUAAAAUUACAACGAUAUACAAGGACUCACCUUUAUUUGGAAAGUGGACAUAUGAAAAACAAGCGUCCUCUUUCCAAGUGACUUGAGGUGGACACAAUCCAGAUGGAGUUGUCUGUAUAACAAAUGCUCUUUUAUAUAUUUUUUGAAAACAUCUGUAAAUGUAAUGAAAAAAUAAAGAAAACUGAGCUUUUAU